UACGUAGGGUGCAAGCGUUGUCCGGAAUUAUUGGGCGUAAAGAGCUCGUAGGCGGCUUGUCACGUCGGGUGUGAAAGCCCGGGGCUUAACCCCGGGUCUGCAUUCGAUACGGGCUAGCUAGAGUGUGGUAGGGGAGAUCGGAAUUCCUGGUGUAGCGGUGAAAUGCGCAGAUAUCGGGAGGAACACCGGUGGCGAAGGCGGUUCUCUGGGCCUUACCUGACGCUGAGGAGCGAAAGCGUGGGGAGCGAACAGG
rnacentral:rRNA from 1 species